GACGAACGCUGGCGGCGUGCUUAACACAUGCAAGUCGAACGAUGAUGCUCCAGCUUGCUGGGGUGGAUUAGUGGCGAACGGGUGAGUAACACGUGAGUAACCUGCCCCCUUCUUCGGGAUAAGCUUGGGAAACUGGGUCUAAUACUGGAUAUUCUGCAAUUGUCGCAUGGUGGUUGUGGGAAAGAUUUUUUGGUGGGGGAUGGGGUCGCGGCGUAUCAGCUUGUUGGUGGGGUGAUGGCCUACCAAGGCGUCGACGGGUAGCCGGCCUGAGAGGGUGACCGGCCACACUGGGACUGAGAUACGGCCCAGACUCCUACGGGAGGCAGCAGUGGGGAAUAUUGCACAAUGGGCGCAAGCUUGAUGCAGCGACGCCGCGUGAGGGAUGACGGCUUUCGGGUUGUAAACCUCUUUCGAUGGGGAACAAGGCCAUAUUUUUGUGUGGUUGAGGGUACCUGUAUAAGAAGCGCCGGCUAACUACGUG
rnacentral:rRNA from 1 species